GGGGAAUAUUGCACAAUGGGCGAAAGCCUGAUGCAGCAACGCCGCGUGAGUGAUGAAGGUCUUCGGAUUGUAAAGCUCUGUCUUUUGGGACGAUAAUGACGGUACCAAAGGAGGAAGCCACGGCUAACUACGUGCCAGCAGCCGCGGUAAUACGUAGGUGGCGAGCGUUGUCCGGAUUUACUGGGCGUAAAGGGUGCGUAGGCGGAUGUUUAAGUGAGAUGUGAAAUACCCGGGCUUAACUUGGGUGCUGCAUUUCAAACUGGAUAUCUAGAGUGCAGGAGAGGAGAAUGGAAUUCCUAGUGUAGCGGUGAAAUGCGUAGAGAUUAGGAAGAACACCAGUGGCGAAGGCGAUUCUCUGGACUGUAACUGACGCUGAGGCACGAAAGCGUGGGUAGCAAACAGGAUUAGAUACCCUGGUAGUCCACGCCGUAAACGAUGAGUA
rnacentral:rRNA from 1 species